UUAUACAAAAAUCUUAAUUACUGUAAGAUAAGCAGAUGCUGCAAAACUAUGACUUCUGUAUAAAAGCACUGACAUUGUAUUAUAACAAGCAGUAAGUCAUUGUUUAUACAAUUUGGAGUAACUGUUGCGAUUUGGCUACUGACACAAAAGUACAAUGAGGAACUCUCCUAAAAUAGAUGGCAUUGUCUCUGGUUCCUGUUCCCAAAUACAGAAAGAGGAGGGGUCAUCUGUGAAGCAUUCCUGCAUUCUUUCUACAUCUGAUCAGUCCUGUGAACCCAGCACCACAUUAUCACAUCUGGCUGUCCUCUUGGAGGGGGAAGCAGAAUCAGCUAGGGCCCAAAAGUUGCACUGGAUUGGGAAGGAGAGCUGCUGGUCCAUAUCAUCCCCAUAUUUCUUGGCAGGAAUGAAAACGGACACUGCUCUGCUUUCAAGAGCUGAAGGGAAAAAACAGUGAUAUCUCCCAAAAGACAGACACCUCCAGAUGCCAGCAAAGCGGAACCUGCAUGGAUGUUGGCG